GCUACUUUCAGCGCUCGGUUGCCA
rnacentral:siRNA from 1 species